rnacentral:lncRNA from 1 species
AAAACCAAUGGAAAUGUCUAAAUAUAGAAGGUAAGGAUGCAGAACUAAUUGGCCGUAGGCCAGACAAUUUAUUAAAAACAAUAAAAGUAUCUAAAUAAUAUAUAGAAGGUUAGGAUACAGAAAUAUAUGGCCAUAGGCCAGACAAACGAUAAAAACCAAUGGAAAUGUCUAAAUAUAGAAGGUAAGGAAACAGAAAUAUAUUGGUAUAGGCCAGACAAACGAUAAAAACCAAUGGAAAUGCCUAAAUAUAGAAGGUAAGGAAACAGAAAUACAUUGGCAUAGGCCAGACAAACGAUAAAAACCAAUGGAAAUGCCUAAAUAUAGAAGGUUAGGAUAUUGAAAUAUUAUGGCCAUAGGCCAGACAAACAAUAAAAACCAAUGGAAAUGCCUAAAUAUAGAAGGUAAGGAUUCAGAAAUAAUUGGCCAUAGGCCAGACAAUUGAUUAAAAACAAUAAAAGUAUCCAAAUAAUAUAUAGAAGGUUAGGAUACAGAAAUAUAUUAUCAGACAAUUGAUUAAAAACAAUAAAAGUAUCUAAAUAAUAUAUAAAAAGUUAGGAUAUUGAAACUUCAGGAAUAUUCAGUCACACAAUGAAAAAUUGACAAUGCCAAGGUGAAACAUGACCAAAAAAAAAACAAUAGUAAACAAUCCAAAUGUUUCCUCACAACUUUCCUUUUAUGAUGAGAUAUAUUAGUAGUUUUGAACCUAUAGGUUGAUAAGGCAAGAUUAUUCUUUCCAUUUAAAACAAGUGUCAGUUUACCAUUACGGAUCUAUGAUGAAUGUAAGAAACAUUUAUUCACAUUUAUAAUAUUAGAAAGGGACAGAAUUUGAAUUAGUUGUGUGCUUUUCUUGACUUGAUAAAUUAUACAUGUUUAUAUUUUUAGAACCUUUUGAUCUCACUAAUACUGCAAGAAGUUGUUAUGAUGAACACACAUUUGAGAGGAUUAAGAGAGUGAUCAGACUUAGCUAUCAAAGACUUUCAAGGUCACGAGAUGUCAAGGUCAUCCUAACAAGUCCAUUCUAAUUGGUCAGGAUAACAGUAUCUUUUAAAACUAUUGGCAUACAGAUUGUGGAUAGGACUGUUCAAGACAAAAGGAAGUUUUAAUGUUAUUUGCCAGAAGAUUAUGGUUAGGAUCUAUCCAUUGACUGCUAAAAAAACAGUGGUGAAAAUAAGUGAUCUUUGGAAGAGGGGAUAGAUUGAUUAGUGUAAAUCAUGUUUUCAGUGAAAUUUUGACUCAUCAUAUGAGCUGUACUGAAUUCUGUGAACAGAAUCUGUGAUUAAUUAAAAAAUACUUAAAACUUGUACAACAAGAGAUUGAACAAGGAGCUUCUUUCAAAAGUCUGAUAGAUGUGAAACGUUUAACUUAACAAUGCUUAUUGGAAGAACAACAUAUUGUCUUUAACAUUUAGUGAUUGUAUUUAUGAACAGGUGUUAAAAGUAUAGCUGAAUAUUUAAUUGACAAAUGUAGAUAGUUGAGGCCUAUAUACAUGAUAUAUGAAAAGAGACAUUUGACAUUUGGUGCUAAAAUAUGUAAUAAAAGCAUUUAUGUUUUUAAUCGGAUUACAAUUAGCCAUGCAAAUACCUUAUAUUUUAGGGAUGAGAUAUAUGGUGUUUCAGCUCACCAGGCUCAUAGAGUCAGUAGGAGUUAUUGCACAUACUUUUUGUUUGUCGUCUGUUAGUAUCUUGAAAACUAUAAGAAAAUAUGACCAAAACUGUGAGAUGGGAUACUCUUUAAAGGAGUAAUUGCACUCAAUUAAUAAUUUUUUCUAAAAUUAUAUAAACAAUUUGAAUUGCAAAGAAAUACGUUCAAGAUGGUUUUGUUUUCAUUUUUAUUUUUUUGAAAUCUUAAGCAGAAAAUUAAAAACAGCAAAAUAUAACCAGCUUGAUAAGAUCUAUAAAUAAGUCAACGUGGCUUAAUUCUCUGUGUACUCCAUUUAAAGGGAAUGGCCCCUUAAAUGAAGAUUCUAACAUUCUGUUUUAGAUGGAAACUAUUGUAGACAUGGUAGAUAUUGCAAAAUUGUAAACAGCAAAAAUAUUAACUACACAGUUUUUACACUUUUCAUUUUUGUCUUUUUCAUGAAAUCUUUAUUAAAUGUUAAGGCAAAAUAUCUGUCCAGCAAAAAUGAUUUUACAAAUUAUUUUGGCCUGCACAAGCCUCCAUUGAUUCUACACUUAAUUUCUUAGUGCACAGUAUCAGUUUUAGGAUAAAGUGUCAGGGGAGAAAAUCAAAUACAGACUCUAUGGAGCCUUACUUAAAUGUUGCUUAUGCAGUGAAAGGAUAGGAGUCCCAAUCAAGAAAAUAUUUUCAUAUUUAUCAAUAGAAUAGUAAAUUUAUGAUAAUCAAAGUAUUAUUUAGUUGGUUGAGUCCAAAUUUUGUCCAUGGGAAAGAUUUUAUGAAAGCUCAUUGAGUUUUGCCAAACAAUAUUUAAGUCUUGAUCUGCAUUAAGUGUGAUAUUUAUUGGGUUAUAAACAUGAUAAUAUUACAUUUGUUAUAAUGUAUUUUGAUAUGUACAGAGAGCAUUUGAUAAAAA